rnacentral:rRNA from 1 species
AGAGUUUGAUCCUGGCUCAGGACGAACGCUGGCGGCGUGCCUAAUACAUGCAAGUCGAACGGAGAUAUUCGCUGAUGAAGUACUUCGGUAAUGAAUCUUGGAUAUCUUAGUGGCGGACGGGUGAGUAACGCGUGAGCAACCUGCCUUUCAGAGGGGGAUAACGUUUGGAAACGAACGCUAAUACCGCAUGACAUUAUCUUAUCGCAUGGUAGGAUAAUCAAAGGAGCAAUCCGCUGAAAGAUGGGCUCGCGUCCGAUUAGGUAGUUGGUGGGGUAACGGCCUACCAAGCCGACGAUCAGUAGCCGACCUGAGAGGGUGACCGGCCACAUUGGGACUGAGACACGGCCCAGACUCCUGCGGGAGGCAGCAGUGGGGAAUAUUGCACAAUGGGGGAAACCCUGAUGCAGCGACGCCGCGUGAAGGAAGAAGUAUCUCGGUAUGUAAACUUCUAUCAGCAGGGAAGAAAAUGACGGUACCUGACUAAGAAGCCCCGGCUAACUACGUGCCAGCAGCCGCGGUAAUACGUAGGGGGCAAGCGUUAUCCGGAUUUACUGGGUGUAAAGGGAGCG